GAUGAACGCUAGCUACAGGCUUAACACAUGCAAGUCGAGGGGUAACGAGAGGAAAGCUUGCUUUCCUUGUCGACGACCGGCGCACGGGUGAGUAACGCGUAUCCAACCUGCCCCCAACUAGGGAAUAACCUUGCGAAAGUAAGACUAAUACCCUAUAAUUUCCUCAGAUGUCAUCUGACGAGGAAUAAAGAUUUAUCGGUUGUGGAUGGGGAUGUGUAUGAUUAGCUUGUUGGCGGGGUAACGGCCCACCAAGGCAACGAUCAGUCGGGGUUCUGAGAGGAAGGUCCCCCACAUUGGAACUGAGACACGGUCCAAACUCCUACGGGAGGCAGCAGUGAGGAAUAUUGGUCAAUGGGCGGAAGCCUGAACCAGCCAAGUAGCGUGCAGGAUGACGGCCCUAUGGGUUGUAAACUGCUUUUAUACAGGAAUAAAGUUAGCCACGUGUGGUUAUUUGUAGGUACUGUAUGAAUAAGGACCGGCUAAUUCCGUGCCAGCCGCCGCCGUAA
rnacentral:rRNA from 1 species